rnacentral:rRNA from 1 species
GGGUAAUGGCCCACCAAGCCUACGAUCCGUACGGGCCCUGAGAGGGGGAGCCCGGAGAUGGACACUGAGACACGGGUCCAGGCCCUACGGGGCGCAGCAGGCGCGAAACCUCCGCAAUGCGCGAAAGCGCGACGGGGGGACCCCGAGUGCCCUGCCUCUGGCAGGGCUUUUCCGGAGUGUAAACAGCUCCGGGAAUAAGGGCUGGGCAAGUCCGGUGCCAGCAGCCGCGGUAAUACCGGCGGCCCAAGUGGUGGCCACUGUUAUUGGGCCUAAAGCGUCCGUAGCCGGCCCGGUAAGUCUCUGCUUAAAUCCCGCGGCUUAACCGCGGGGCUGGCAGAGAUACUGCCGGGCUUGGGACCGGGAGAGGCCGGGGGUACCCCAGGGGUAGCGGUGAAAUGCGUUGAUCCCUGGGGGACCACCUGUGGCGAAGGCGCCCGGCUGGAACGGGUCCGACGGUGAGGGACGAAGGCCGGGGGAGCAAACCGGAUUAGAUACCCGGGUAGUCCCGGCUGUAAACUCUGCGGACUAGGUGUCGCGUGCCCUUCGGGGGCACGCGGUGCCGAAGGGAAGCCGUUAAGUCCGCCGCCUGGGGAGUACGGUCGCAAGACUGAAACUUAAAGGAAUUGACGG